rnacentral:rRNA from 1 species
GACGAACGCUGGCGGCGUGCCUAAUACAUGCAAGUAGAACGCUGAAGGAGGAGCUUGCUUCUCUGGAUGAGUUGCGAACGGGUGAGUAACGCGUAGGUAACCUGCCUGGUAGCGGGGGAUAACUUUUGGAAACGAUAGCUAAUACCGCAUAAUAGUAGAUGUUGCAUGACAUUUGCUUAAAAGGUGCAAUUGCAUCACUACCAGAUGGACCUGCGUUGUAUUAGCUAGUUGGUGGGGUAACGGCUCACCAAGGCGACGAUACAUAGCCGACCUGAGAGGGUGAUCGGCCACACUGGGACUGAGACACGGCCCAGACUCCUACGGGAGGCAGCAGUAGGGAAUCUUCGGCAAUGGACGGAAGUCUGACCGAGCAACGCCGCGUGAGUGAAGAAGGUUUUCGGAUCGUAAAGCUCUGUUGUAAGAGAAGAACGAGUGUGAGAGUGGAAAGUUCACACUGUGACGGUAUCUUACCAGAAAGGGACGGCUAACUACGUG